rnacentral:rRNA from 1 species
UACAGAGGUCUCAAGCGUUGUUCGGAAUCACUGGGCGUAAAGGGUGCGUAGGUGGCGUGGCAAGUCAGAUGUGAGAGCCCGGGGCCCAACCUCGGAAUUGCAUCCGAUACUGCCAUGCUAGAGUACUGAAGAGGUGACUAGAAUUCUAGGUGUAGCAGUGAAAUGCGUAGAUACCCAGAGGAAUACCAACGGCGAAGGCAGGUCACUGGGCAGUUACUGACACUGAGGCACGAAGGCCAGGGGAGCAAACGGG